CGAUAAUGGGUGUGAAAAACACCCACGCCGAAAGACCAAGGUUUCCUGCGCAACGUUAAUCGACGCAGGGUUAGUCGGUCCCUAAGGCGAGGCUGAAAAGCGUAGUCGAUGGAAAACAGGUUAAUAUUCCUGUACUUCUGGUUAUUGCGAUGGAGGGACGGAGAAGGCUAGGCCAGCUUGGCGUUGGUUGUCCAAGUUUAAGGUGGUAGGCUGGAAUCUUAGGUAAAUCCGGGAUUCUAAGGCCGAGAGCUGAUGACGAGUUAUCUUUUAGAUGACGAAGUGGUUGAUGCCAUGCUUCCAAGAAAAGCUUCUAAGCUUCAGGUAACUAGGAACCGUACCCCAAACCGACACAGGUGGGCGAGGAGAGUAUCCUAAGGCGUUUGAGAGAACUCGGGAGAAGGAACUCGGCAAAUUUGAACCGUAACUUCGGGAUAAGGUUCGCCUACGCAAGUAGGCCGCAGUGAAGAGGGGGUUGCGACUGUUUAUCAAAAACACAGCACUCUGCAAACACGAAAGUGGACGUAUAGGGUGUGACGCCUGCCCGGUGCCGGAAGGUUAAUUGAUGGGGUUAGCUAACGCGAAGCUCUUGAUCGAAGCCCCGGUAAACGGCGGCCGUAACAAUAACGGUCCUAAGGUAGCGAAAUUCCUUGUCGG
rnacentral:rRNA from 15 species